rnacentral:rRNA from 1 species
AAUCAACGCUGGCGGCGUGCCUCAGACAUGCAAGUCGAACGAUUAAAAGCUCUCUUCGGAGAGUGUAUAGAGUGGCGCACGGGUGAGUAACACGUAAGUAAUCUACCCUCGAGUGGGGAAUAACAACCGGAAACGGUUGCUAAUACCGCAUAAUGCAGCGGCACCGCAAGGUGACAGUUGUUAAAGAUUUAUCGCUCGAGGAGGAGCUUGCGGCAGAUUAGCUAGUUGGUAGGGUAACGGCUUACCAAGGCUACGAUCUGUAACCGGUCUAAGAGGACGGUCGGUCACACUGACACUGAAUAACGGGUCAGACUCCUACGGGAGGCAGCAGUCGGGAAUUUUGGGCAAUGGGCGAAAGCCUGACCCAGCAACGCCGCGUGAAGGAUGAAGUAUUUCGGUAUGUAAACUUCGAAAGAAUAGGAAGAAUUAAUGACGGUACUAUUUAUAAGGUCCGGCUAACUACGUG